rnacentral:misc_RNA from 1 species
UGACACGCACUCUUAGUUCUCUCGACCCGUCUCCUUUUAGCGUGCUUGUGCACCGCGUAUUCGCACUGCGUCUCCUGCGUCUUGUCUCCGCUGCUCUCGGUAAGGGGGGGGGUGCUGCGUGCACCUGUGCUGUCCAACAUGUUAGGCGGCCGCCACUUUCAAAGAAAGUACGAGAAGAAACAGAAGAAAAAGGAAGCCAAGAAAGCGUCCCAGGGUCCUCUGCGUGGUGCGGGUGGCUCGAGCAGCGCCAGCGCAACAGCAGCAGCGGGGGCGGCUGCCAAGCGCAAGGAUGGCAGCACGCUAAAGGGGCCCGUCGUGUCGCACGGCGCCUUCAUGGCGAGCCGCGACUCAGCGAAUAACCGAAAAAAUGUGCCGUUCCCGAGCAAGAUGGAGGAGAAGGUUUACCGCAAGGAGCAUCGCGUCCCAAAAUACAACUGCAUUGUCGACCCGGAGCGGCAGAACUUGGCUAAGGCAGCCGGGGCUAGCAGCGCUGCUCAGCGCCGUCGCGUUUUGCGGCAGAAGGGUGACGAGGACCUCCUCGACCACUUCCGCGAGCGCCUGAAUGCCAGCACGUUCCGUCUCUUGAAUGAGCAGGUGUACAACGCCCCGACCACACUAGCGAGUCGGCUGCUGCGCGAGGAGGCGACCUUUCGCGACUACCACACCGGCUACCACCAACAGCUCAUGCAGUGGCCCAUGAAUCCGAGCACGCUCAUUGUGGAGUCGCUGCUAGGGGACCGACGUGGGCGGUUUCUCGCGAACAAGGGGAAGAGCAUGCCAGGGCACAUCCCGGUCUCGUGGGUGGUCGCGGAUAUGGGUUGCGGUGAGGCCCAGAUCGCCGCGGCGCUGAAGCCGAAGGGCUACACGGUGCACUCCUUCGACUUCUUUGCUCUAAACUCGCUGGUGACGGUGGCGGACACCACCAAGGUGCCCCUCGCGGACAACUAUGUCGACGUCUGUGUCUUUUCGCUUAGCCUGAUGGCGACGGACUACGUCAAGAGCCUCUUCGAGGCCUUCCGCAUCUUGAAGCCGAAGCGGCUGCUCAAGAUCAUCGAAGUGCGCUCCCGUGUGCCGUUCCCGCGCAAGUUUGCAGAGCUCGUCGAGGACAUCGGCUUUGAGGUGGAUUACAGCGACGUCGCCGGCGACUACUUCGUUGCCUUCGACUUCAUCAAGAAGGACGACCAGGCGGCCGCCAACACGCAGCUACGCCACGAACCGGGUGACGUGCUCGUGCCAUCCCUUUACAAGAAGCGGUGAGGGGUUAAGGGUCGGGGGAAUAGGGGCGGUGGGCGGCGCGCCUUUUCGGCUUCCUUCGCCGAAAGUGGCCGUCCGCUGGUACGACAGUGUGUGGGGGUGGGGUGGGGGGAGGGGAACGGCAGCGGUGCGCACGGUUAGCCGCUCGGCAUCAUACAAAACGAAGAGACAAUACCGUCAUGUGUUGCCCCUCCCCCAUUUUCGACCUCCCCCACCCCCCACCCCACCGUCGCAGGGGUCGCGAGUGUCGAGCGCAUGCACACACACACACACACACACACACACACACGCAUACUUCUCUGCCUAUGGAGCACGCCUCCUUGUCCCUCUUUCUUCCCCGCCCCUAGCCUUGUUUUCGUGUCGUUGGUGUGGAAUAACGUGCGUGUAAGGCGUGAGCGAGCUGAGCGGCGUGAGGGGCGUUACCUGCCACCUGGCCUGAUUUUUGUGUCCUCGUUCUCUGUGUCCUUGCCAGGGAGAGGAAGAG